UACGUAGGAGGCGAGCGUUGUCCGGAGUUACUGGGCGUAAAGGGUGCGCAGGCGGUGGCCCGCGUGGGCGGUGAAAGCUCCUGGCUCAACUGGGAGAGGGCCGUCCAGACGGGGUCACUUGAGGGGCGGAGAGGGGGAUGGAAUUCCGCGUGUAGCAGUGAAAUGCGUAGAUAUGCGGAGGAACACCGAUGGCGAAGGCAAUCCCCUGGGCCUGUACUGACGCUCAUGCACGAAAGCGUGGGGAGCAAACAGG
rnacentral:rRNA from 1 species